ACCCGCGCCCGGCGCUCGGCUCUACCUUGAGGCGCAGUGCGGUGACGAGGCCCCGGCUCCAGGGUAGCCAGAUGAGCCCUCAAGUCAUUACCAGCUUUGAAGUAAGGGUUUUUCUUCCCUGCCCCUGCGCCCCGGGCGCCCGGACCCUCCCUGACAGCCGAAUGCCUGGUAACCCGAAUCCGGGGCCGGCCUGGCUUCCGGAGUGUGGGCGCCUUCCCUCCCCAGCCUCACCGAAGCCGGCGUGUCUCCAAAGACAGCUCUUCCUCACUUCAUAGUGCGUGGCUAUUUAAAGUCACCGUGGUGACCCAUCCCCUGGUCUGGGUUCCUUUCGUCCUCUCCUGAAUUUACUGUGCUAACGACACUCCUUCGUUCAACACACAUUGACUGGUUUCGCUCUUGGCUCAGAGAGCUGGAUCUCCCAGGCUACUGCUCUCCCAAGUGUCCCAAAGCCCCCGUCGCUGCCGCACCGCAGGACUAGUGAGCCCGCGCUGUCACAAGGACGCCCAAAGAUUGCUGCCAGUGAGGACCGCAUUCGGGCUCUUGCCUGGAGUUCCGGGUCCCGGAAGAAGGACUGGGAGUUGAAAGGUUCUCCUUCAGGCCAGCGCUUCAUUGCGCGUUUGCAUCCGUCAGGACACAGGGCCCAGAAUCUUUCUAAAACGGACUGCCUCAGCCCUAACAACUCGGCUGUGGAAGCACAUUAUCAAUUUUCGCUGCAGGACGGAAGUCGCGCCAUCGGAAUACAGCUACGUGGGUGAUUCCUAAAACCCUGGGAACCGUCUCUCAGGACCGUGGAUUGAGGCUGUUCUCUCCGUGUAAAUUUGCGCAGUAGAAAUGGACGGUUCAUUUGCUGAUCUGUCGGCAGCAGCCAAAAAGGCAAAAACGAAAAAACAUUUACGAAGGGAACUUGGAAGGUUAAAGCUGCCUUCCCGCAACAUCUUCCUACACAGCCUCAGCCUCCUCGUGAUCUGAAACCAGGAGAUUUCAUGUAUUGGAAGGGACACUGGAGAAAAACUACUCUUGAACUUCAUUGGAAGGGACUUCAUCAGAUGCUGACAACACAAAUCCUGGUUCUAAGUGACUUGGCCAGAUUCCUAUCUACAGAUCAACCAGGAUUUUCUGUUGCAGGUUGAGAAGAUAUACCACAUUCUGGAAGACAGCACCCCAACCAUGCAGGUUUCCCAGUUAGCAACACAACCACUUUAAGUGGACAGCUCCUUCUUGGUGAUGAAGUAGACGGUGAGUCCAGAGAACUCCAAAGAAACAGCAGCUUAACUAACACCUCCCUUUCAAGAACAGCAUCAGGACACUUGCUGAAAGUAUAGUGAGCUGGGACUCGAGGACCUGGGGACAGUCAAUACCUACUUAUCUCAGAUGGUGAGAGAAGUACUCCAAGCUGCUGCCUCUGUGGGAGACUUGAGUACCAGCCAGAUGCACAGUGACAAAGAGCAGUCUGAUGGCUUUUGCUACAGUGGUUUUUAGAUUUCUCUGUAUGAUAUAAAUAUGCAACUAUUUAACUAUUUGGCAAUGGUUUUUGCAUUUUGCAGUAAAGUUUUUGAUGACAAAGAGCUCAAAUAAAUGAAAGCCAAGGUUUAAUAGAAAACUAAGCAUUGAAUCUCAGUUUCUCCAGAAAGGUGGUGAUGAAUCUGUAACUUGCACAAAAUGUAUAUAAGAAUUUACAUACCACUGUAGGCUCUGUGGUGAUGUCGUUGAUUUCCCACACCCCCCAAAAAUGAGAGAAAUCCGCUGACAAAGCAUCAGUGUCCACUUCAAAAGUAAGUAUUUUAAGAAGACUGCGUCCUAGAAUGGCAGUUAAACAGGCGCAGCUACAGGACGUGCAUUUACAGAGCAUUCUGUGAAGAUCAAAUGACUGCCCUUUUCAGUUUGCUCAUUUUUCAUUUGAAAUUUGCUGCUAAUCAUCAGAUUUUAGAAAAGUUUGAGCCUUUGAAAAACUACUUUAUAAAUCAAACUGUGUCCCUGCUCACUUUCGUAAAUGAAUUACUUUAAAUUUUGGUUGCGUUCUGUUCAAAAUGAAUUAGAACUCCUUAAGUAAAAUAGUCAAAGAAUGGAGUACUGAAAACUUGUCUUUGAAGUUUCAGCAAAUCACAGUUAUCGUUAAACCCGAGAAACUUGUUAUUCCCCUGCGCCAUCACCCUUCCGCUGAGAUACUCGUUUUCUGCGCUGCCUCUCAGUUCCCAGUGGCUGCAGCCCCGGUUGCCUGCUCAGUGAGGUGCCCAGCUCCGUCUCCCUUCCCCGCUCCCCUACUUGUGGGGGCCCCCUGCCAUCACCUCCCCAAUAACUUACUUGUACUAGACUCCUUGUCCCUGGGUCUGCUCCUGGUGGGACCCAAUCUAAGGCUAGACCACAGGACAGUCUUCCUGUGAGCCUUGCCCUUUAUUUGUUCAUAUAAUUGGGGGCCUCAUCGAACUUGGGGUCUGUAUCUACUUUGUAUGGGAAGUCAGAUUUCCCCAUCCGGAACCCUAACCUAGCCCCAGGUCAUCCUGAAGUCUGGCAUGAUUUAGGCAAGUGUUUGCUGCCAAAUCAGAUGCCUUGUUCCUAUUAGCAGCUUCUGCUUUAGCAAGUCCGUUAACAGGUGCUGAAACUCAGGACAUCUCCCUAUGAAAGUAUUACCCAGCCACUCAGUUUUAGUUUAUUAGCGUCAAAAAAUACUCUUUUUUAAAAUAAUAUGAACAGAUUAUACAUACAGUAUAUACUAAAUUGUAUAGUAUAUAUGUAAAUAUAUAGCAUAUGUAUGUAAAUAUGUAAUGUUCGUUUUGAUUAUUAAAGGAAAAUAACUUUAUGCUUGACCAUUUGGAGAUUACAAAUAAGUGCAUAUCCAAUUCCAGUGAUACAAGUAAAGCAGUUAAGUCCUCACAUGUGAGGCUAUAGACUUGGUCUCCUGGAACCAGUGAUUGGAAGAACUGAACACUGAAAGGCCCGGCAUCCAGGCUUGCAAAUAAGGAACUUGUUGCAUCUCUCUGCAUCUGCAGUGUCUUUGUUAAUCAUACAAAGUGUGAUUUUGCAUUCUAAUUACAAGUGCCAUCAGCCUUUGUACAGAUUUGAGCCCAGCAAGUCGCAAUCAUAAUCAUUUUAUGACAUGGGAUUCUAAUCUCUUCACAAAUUAUUACCAUUUUGAAUAUUAUUUAAUUGCAGUGGUUGAUUUUAAAAAGCACCCAAAAGGCCGAAAACCAAGAUCCCACAAAUACUUCGGUUGAAAACAGAAUAUUUCAGGAAACCCACUGUGCAGGCUGUAUUUUAUGGUCAGUAUUUUUAUUUAAAUAUUUGAUAUUGGUUAAUUCUAUUUUUUUCCUUAGGAAAUUUUAGUGAAUGACAGUGUUCAACAUAACUUGGUAGUUUGUCUUUAUUAUGAAGAAUUUUAAAUGUACACAAGAUUAGGAGGGGAAUUUUCGUAUUUUUUUACCUAGUUUCAGUAACUAUCAACAUUUGCCUUUCUUGUUUCAUUUAUACCUAAUCCUCACACACCCUCUCCCCUCCCACAUACACUUUUUUUUUUUGCUGGGGGUGGAUCAGAAGUUUUAAAAUCAAACCUCAGCCAUCAUAUUUCACCCACAAAUCUGUACUAUGUACUGUAUGUAUCUCUAACAAAUUAUGACUUUUUAAAUGCUAUUAUCACACCUAACAAUUUAAUAGUAAUUCCAUAGCUAACAUGAUAAUUCAUUAGUGAUUAUUGUUGAUAUUCAGUAAUCCAAAUUGGCAUUGUAGGAAAGAACUCAGCUGGUAGUUUAUUUGUUAUUUCAAAAAUACAAAUUGUCACAGGAUUUUGCUUCUGUUUCAAAUUCACCCGCUAAUCUUUUCUGCAAAUUCAGUGAAUUUGGGGGAAAAAAAACAUUGAAUUUCUCCUCUAUUUAGUAUUGUUUAAGAUGAAGUUACAUAAAAAGAAAGUUUCUCCUAUCCCUGAUUUUAAAUAAGAUGUUUAAGCUAUGUUUUGUAAAUUCUCAAACAAUGUUAGGAUUCUACACAGAGUUUCCAGAAUACGUUCGUGCUGUGUUUAUUGCGGUGGAGCAUAAGAGGACCCCAGGGGUAUUUGAGCUUUCAGGAAUAAAAUGAUGCAUUUGCA